rnacentral:lncRNA from 1 species
CUUUUUCAAAAUGUGGCGGUGGCAGGGAAGGUUGUCUGCUCCAGAGGCUUCCCUAGAGUGAAGAGCUCUACUAUGUAUGCUUUAUGCGGCAGAAGGAGUGCUUUGGAGGAGUUUUUAAAUUUGUUUUUUUUUUAAAUCUUAUCGGUUUUAAUUGUAGCAAUGAUUCAAGAAACGUUAGUAGGUGCCCAUAACUUCGGUGGUGGAGAUCCAAAAGUGAACAAGACAGUGUUCUGGCUGCUAAAUUCUUCUUAACUGGUUAUGCCUGGAGACCUUCACUUGGUUCUGUGCCAGCACUGCCCAUGAACUUCAUAGACUGUGAUCUUUGCUAAGGCCUAAAUGAAUGAAGGUGCAGGACCGGAAGCAGAAGACAGAAAGUGGAGACCAGAUGUUUGAAGCUGGGUAAAGGCAGGGAUGGAGCAGGAACCGAGGAACAAACCUUGGAACUAGGUAAGUUUCCUGAGGCCUUCCCAGAAGUAGAAGCCUGCACAGUCCACAGAACUGUGAGUCAAUUAAACCUUUUUUCUUUAUAAAUUACCCAGUCUUAGGUAGUUCUUUAUAACAGUAUGAGAACCAACUAAUACAGGCAGGAUGCAAAGUUUCAGGAGCCAGUGGGACAUCUGUUAGAGAUGUGUAUAAGGAGUUUAGAAAUUUCAACCAUGCUUCAGAGUUAACAUUUGAAAUAGAAAAGUAGCAGCCAAAGGUGUAAAUGUACUAACUAAAAGCUAGUAAAUAUUAAUAAAAGAGAGCCAAAAACUAAGCUGUGAGAUGUGCCCUCAUUUAGAAACCUGAAGAGGUGAAAAGAAGGGAAUAAAACAAGUAAGAAAGGGACAAAAAAGGAAGUGGGAACUUACAGUAAAAACUUGUCGUAGAAUCAAGGGAAUGCUUCUGAAGGAAGACGUGUCUAGCAGAGGCAAGCCCCGCUGAAUUGAGAGAGGAAAAGUAUUGAAACGAAGCUUUUGAGUUUGGUGACCAAGGUUUCACUGGUGACCUUUGACAAAACCUCAGUUACUUGAGUAGACUUAAAUGAAGUGAAAAGUCAUGAGCUUGAGGGAGAACUUAAAACUCAAAAUUACUGUAAGAACUUGAGUCUUCCAGGUCGACUUGUCAUCAGGUUCCUUGUUUUUGUUGUGGAUUUCCGCUUGCAGGAUAAAUUUUCCCCUGCAGUCUUCCCUUGGUGACCUCUUCAAUGUAAUCAGUUCAGUAUUUCUGCUAUACCUCCAUUACCCACAUCUGAGGCUCUGAAUUAGGUGGAGUUAAUUGGUUCAAUUGGAGAUUCACACCCAUGGCAACUUGUCAUCUCCUAACCUCUUGAUGGAGUAUACCAGCAAAUGAGAGAUGACUUGAACUAAUCUGACCCUUUCAUUUCACAUCCACAGCACAAUUACUCUCCCUUUUGCUCGCCUAACACGAUCUCAAAUACUAAAAUGACCCAAUCCAGCUUAUUAGAUCCCCAAAUAACUUAAUAUAAUAACAUAAUACAAAAUUUAGACAUUUGGAAAAGGCACACGGUAGGGUCCGUAUGUACCUGCUCCCAUUUUUUUCUAUGGUUCAAAGCACAGUUUUAAGAAACCAGUUAACUUUCUUCAGUGAGGCCUAUUUGCCAGCUUCUCUACUGGGAAUUAUUUAUAGUAUGGCAAUAAGGUCAUUAACUUGUACUUGGUUCUGAAAAGCUAAAAACUUUCGAAGUUGCAAACUUGAAUUUUUGCCCUGAUCUCUCUGACUCCAUUGACAAUAAUAUUUUCCACCAUGCCAUGGUACCUUGACAGAUCAUCUUUCUCUUCAAAUUUUUUUUGUGAGAAUGGCUAAUUGACAUGUUUUCUUUCUGCUGCCUUCCAUGAUAUAUAAAUACAAUUAAGCAAUAAAACCAAGGAAACACAAUAUCAAAUUGAUUAUAUAUGACCCACAUGUUGAGGAAUAAAACAUUUAGCCUUAUACCUUUUCAUACUCCAUGUGCAGCUAAGAACAAGUCCUAGUUUUCUAAAGCACCUCUUGAUGAGCUAAAAAAAAAAAGGACCUUAAUGAGUCUAUCUUCUAUACCACAUCUCUGAUGUUUAUAAAUAUUUCAUAUAAAGUCAAUUCAUGAAGUUAAACUUCUGAAACAAAAUUAUGGGAUCCGACAGACCCCAUCUGUUUAAGGCAAAAGUUGAAAAUGUCUAAUUCAAAGGCAUCAUAAAUUAUUUAUAUGUAAAUUUAAAAAUUUAAAGUUUCAUUUUGGCUUUUUUUAUUUUCAGAGAAGGAAAGGGUCAUGUUAGAUCUGAUAACAAGUAAGUAUAGUUAUAUAUCAACAUAUUCCAGAUAUUCGGGUGUGAAAUACCCCCAUAAAGCAUCCUUGUGGAGCAGCGUAACUUAUUUCUGAAUUUGAGUGCUCUGAGGCAUUGGGCUAGUGUGAGGUUGAGGAUGUCAAGUCUAAAAAAGAUGUGGGUUUGGUUCUGGACCAUGGUUGUGGCCAGAGGAAUGUAGUCUGGCUGCAGGGUCAGAGUGUUAGACACUAGAAGGACAGACUUUGUGGUGGUAGAUGAUGAGUCCCUUAGAGAAGGACCCCAGGCAGUAGUUAUGGGAUUAUGGGAAAUGACACCCACCACUCAGGGACAAAGUUGGCAAGAGGUGUCAAUGGCUAGGACAAUGCCAGCCAAGUGUGGAUCACAGAAGAGCUCCAGGCAGUCCCAGUGGAGAAUUCAAAGGAUAAGGAUGAUUGCCACAAUGGUAAUUAUGGGAAUUGUAAUGGCCAACAAUUGAGUAGCACUUUUGGUAAGACUUGGUGGUACCACUUGAUACUGUAUGGCCACUUUGUCUCAGAAAUUUGGUAGCAUUGUGUCUAUAGUAACUCCAGCUACAAAGGUCUGAGAAAGAGGGAAGCUGACAACCUCUAGACUUUUGGUCAUUGAUCCUACAGUUCAAUGAUUUUAUAUAUUUUAUUUUUGUUCUUCUCGACAUGCUGAUUUAAUUUUAUAUAGUUUAUUUUUAUGUAUGUGUGAUUAAGUCUCUUAAAAGUCAACCAAAUACAGACUCUGGAGCCACAUUGCCUGGGUUCAGCUGCGGGCCCUUGGACAAGUUACUUGACCUCUCUGUGGUUUAGCUUUGUCAUCUGUAGACUGGGAACAAUAUCCCUACAUUAUUAGUUAGUUAUGAGGAUUUAAUGAGUUAAUACUUGCUUUACAUAGAGUAAGAGUUUUCUAUUAAAUUGCUAAAAACUAAAAAUAAAAUUUUAUGUAGGUUAGUAGGUCCAGUUGUAUCCGUUUCACAUGGGGGCAUUGUUUAAAAUGCAGAUUCUGGAGUGUCACCCCAGACUUACUCAAAUUCUUAAAGGUAGCCCUGGGAAUCUAUAUUUCUAACAAGUCUCUCAGGAAAUUCCAUUUUUCAAAGUAAGAUCUGGGAAUUAAUUGAGCCAUGCUUCUUGUUCACAAUAUAUUUAAAGUUAUUAGCAAAUUAUUUUCUGACUCAUUUCUUAAGAAAAAUCCUUAGUAGAUUGUACAAAGCUUGCUUACUUAGUUUAAAUGUUAUUUGGAACAAGAAAGGAUAUAACUAAAUCAAGCUUUCUCUAAACUAUUCUUCAUGCAAGAUUUGCUCUUACAUCUUCCUCUACCAACUCCAGAUGCAAAUAUAUCACCUAUGAAUUUUAGAAACUAGCCAUUUGUUGGGCAUGUCUUUUACUAAGACUAACCUGGAAUUUGGUUUGAAUUAUCAAGUAUUUGUAACACAAUAUAAAGGAAAUGCAGUUCUGUGUGUCAGAAAUCCCCAGUUCCCAAAGGAAAAGUUCACUGUGAUAGGCAAUUGCUAACCGUUCACGAGCACAUUUUUAAAAAGUAUAGCAAUGAUAGAAAACCAAACAAUAGAGCCUCCAUAAAGAUUUAUCCAAAUGUAGUUGCCAAGACAAAUAAUGUUGCAUUUUAACAGUAACAUGGUUUGUUCCUCAUUAAACAAAAACAAAACAAAACAAAACAAAAACGCGAUCUUGUUUUCUAUAAAUGAGUUCAAUAGAGUGGUAAUGUGCAAAUGAUUUAUUUGAAAAGAAAAAAGAAAAUAAUUUCCUUCUCCUAUCACUGUAAAUGUUUAUGGGCUGCCCAUUUUUAGGCACAGAAGAUGUCUCUUUAGUAGAUCAUUUGCCAGUAGUAAAGGAUUUACACCGAGACAUUCUAUUUGGCGGGGUGUGAGGGAUGUCUGGUUGUCCUUGUUCGCAGUAUCAUUUGUUUUCAAGGUGACUGACUCGAUGUAGGGACCUAAUCCAUGACCUUGAAGCAAAGCAGAGUUAAUUGAUGUACCAAAGGAUUCAUUAGCAUUUGUCUCUCAACCAUGAAACCAGAUGGGCAGGGUAGCCUAAUUGAGAAAUUAACUGUAUAUUUUCUUGCCUAUGGGCUUUUAAUGCACAAAAACAAAGGAAACAUUUUUUCUUCCUCUUCUGUUUUUCCAGCUUUUAUUUUAGUUUCAUGGGGUACAUGUACAGUUUUGUUACCUGGGUAUACUGCAUAAUGCUGAGGGUUGGAGUACAAAUGAUCCCGUCACCCAGGUAGUGAGCACAGUACCCAAUAGUUAGUUUUUCAACCCUUGAUCCCUCCCUUCCUCCCCACCUAGUAGUCCCCAGUUUCUAUUGUUACCAUCUUUAUGUUCAUGAGUACCCAAUGUUUAGCUCCCACUGAUAAGUGAGAACAUGCAGUAUAUGGUUUUCUGUUCCUGCAUUAAUUCGCUUAAGAUAAUGGCCUCAGCUUCAUCCACGUUGCUGCAAAGGAGAUAAUUUUGUUCUUUUUAUGGCUGUAUAGUAUUCUGUGACAUAUAUGUGUUGGGGAACCAGCCCCACACCACCCAGGGGGUACCCCGAGUCCUGCGGAGACAAAGGAGUUAGAAAGAGACAGAAUAAGCGUUUAAAAGGCAGGUCCAGGGGACCGGACCCUCGGAGGCUUGCUCAUGGCCCAGAGCUCUCGGGCUCCGCCCAAUUUAUUGGUUUACAAGCUCUUUGUUCUUAGGGCAGAUGGGAGGGGGAGGAAGGGAUGAGGAAAAGGAUUAAUCAGUGAAGGAGAACUCGUGAGUCAUUCAAUAAGAUGUAUAGCAGUGGCGGUUUCUUUGAAUUUCCUUGAGCAAAGGCGUGUGUCUAAACUACUUAAGAUCUUUAACUUAUGGGGACUGAAAUGGGUGGGAGCGGGUUUCAGGAGGAGCCAAGAUGUUUGAUUGUACUCCACUGCUUCAAGGGAGUGUUAUCUCCCCGAGCAACCUGUGGAAUGCCACUGAGCGGUUAUGCUCUUGGGGCAUAAAGACAUGAAGGCAGUAAGGAGACUUUUCUCCUCAGAGGCCACCCAUGGCUUCCCAUGGGUGUCUCACACAGGAGAGACCAACUCAACUGGCACCCCAGAAACUCUUUCCCACAAUAUGUACCACAUUCUCUUUAUCCAGUCCACCAUUAAUGGACACCUAGAUUGAUUCCAUAUCUUUGAUGUUGUGAAUAGUACUGUGAUAAACAUGCGAGUGCAAGUGUCUUUUUGGUAGAACAAUUUGUCUUCUUUUGGAUAUAUGUCCAAUAAUGGGAUUCCUGGGUUGAAAGGCAGUUCUGUCAUAAGUUAUUUGAGAAAUCUCCAAACUGCUUUCCACAGUGGCUGAACUAACUUACAUUCCCAUCAACAGUCUAUAAGUGUUCCCUUUUCUCUGCAGCCUUGCCAGCAUUGGUUGUUUUUUUGACUUUUUAGUAAUAGCCAUUGUGACUUGUGUGAGAUGGUAUCUCAUUGUGGUUUUGACUUGCAUUUCUCUAAUGAUCAGUGAUAUGCAGCCUUUCUUUAUAUGUAUGUUGGCAGCUGGUAUGUCUUAUAAGUGUUUGUUCAUGUGUUGCACCCAUUUUUGAUGGGUUAUUUGUUUUUUGCAUGUUCAAUUGCUUAAGUUCCUUAUAGAUUCUGGAUAUUAGACUUUUGUCAGAUGCAUACUUUGCAAAUAUUUUCUCCCAUUCUGUAGGUUGUCUGUUUACUCUGUUGGUAGUUUAUCUUCAUGUGCUGAAGCUCUUUAGUUUAAUUAGGUCCCACUUGUCAAUUCUUGUUUUUGUUGUAAUUGUUUUUGAGGACCUAGUCAUAAAUUCUUUCCCAACGCCCAUGUCCAGAAUGGUGUUUCCUAGGUUUUCUUCUAGGAUUCUUAUAGUUUGAGGUCUUAUAUUUAAAUCUUUAACCCGUCUUGAGUUAGUUUUUGUAUAUAGUGAAAAGUACAGAUCCAGUUUCAUUCAUCUGCACGUGGCUAGCCAGCUAUCCCAGCACUAUUUAUUAAGUAGGGAGUCCUUUUCCCAUUCCUUAUUUUUCUUGACUUUGUCAAAGAUUGGAUGGCUCUAGGUGUGUUAUAACUGGAUUCACUAUUCUGUUCCAUUGGUCUGUGUCCAUUUUUGUAGAGUACUAUGCUGUUUGGGUUACUGUAGCCUUAUAGUACAGUUUGAAGUCGCGUAAUCUGAUGCUGGUCAUUUUGCUUAGGAUUGCUUUGGCUGUUCAGGCUUUUUGUGGUUCCAUAUGAAUUUUAGAAUAGUUUUUUUCUAGUUCUGUGAAAAAUGACAUUGCUAGCUUCAUAGGAAUAGUGUUGAAUCUACAGUAUGCUUUGGGCAGUAUGGCCAUUUAAGUGAUAUUGAUUCUUCCAAUCCAUGAGUGUGAAAUGUUUUUCCAUUUGUUUCUGUCAUCUGUGAUUUCUUUUAGCAGUGUUUUGUAGUUCUCCUUGUAGAGAUCUUUCACUUCCUUGGUUAGAUGUAUUCCUAGGUAUUUUAUUUUUGUGUGGCUAUUGUAAGUAAGAUUGCAUUCUUGAUCUGGCUUUUAGCUUGAACAUUAUUGGUAUAUAGAAAUGUUACUGAUUUUUGUACAUUAAUUUUAUAUCUUGAAGCUUUACUGAAGUUGUUUAUCAGUUCCAGGAGCCUUUUGACAGAGUCAUUCGAGUUUUCUAGGUAUCGAAUCAUAUCAUCUGUGAAGAGAGAUAGCUUGCUUCUUUUCCUGUUUAGAUGCCUUUUAUUUCUUUCUCUUGCCUAAUUGCUCUGCAUAGCAUUUUCAGUAUUAUGUUGAAUAGAUGUGGUGGGAAUGGGCAUUCUCAUCUUGCUCCAGUUCUCAAGGGGAAUAUUUCCAUUUCUGCCCAUUCAGUAUGAUGUUAGCUGUGCACUUGUCAUAGAUAGCUCUUAUUAUUUUGAGUUAUGUUGCUUCUAUGCCUAGUUUCUUGAAGAUUUUUAUCAUGAAGGUGUGUUGGAUUUUAUAAAAAGCUUUUACCACAUUUAUUGAGAUGAUCAUAUGGGUUUUGUUUUUAAAUCUGUUAUGUGGUGACUCACAUUUGUUAAUUUGCAUAUGUUGAACCAACCUUGCAUCCCAGGGAUUUUGCCUACUUGAUCAUGGUGAAUUAAUUUUUUCAUGCACUGUUGGAUUCAGUUUGCUAGUAUUUUGUUGAGGAUUUUUGCACCUAUGUUCAUCAGGGAUAUUGGCCGUUUGUUUUCUUUUUUUGUUGUGUCCUUGCCAGGUUUCGGUAUCAGUGUGAUGCUGGCUUUGUAGAAUGAGUUAGUGAUCGGUAACUAUUUUUGGAAUAGUUUCAGUAGAAUUAGUACCAGCUCUUCUUUGUACAUCUGAUAGAAUUCAGCUUUGAAUCCAUCUGGUCUGGGGCUUUUUUUGGUUAAUAUGCUUUUUUAUGAUUGAUUCAAUUUUGGAACUUGAUAUAGAUAUAUUUAGGGUUUCACUUUCUUCCUGAUUCAAAUUUGGGAGGUUGUGUUUUUCCAGGAAUUUAUCAGUUUCCUCUAGCUUUUCUAGUUUGUGUGCAUAGAAGUCUUCAUAAUAGUCUCUGAGGAUCUUUUGUAUUUCUGUGGGGUCAGUUAUAAUGUUACCUUUGUCAUUUCUGAUGUGCUUAUUUGGAUUUUCUUUUCUUCUUUGUUAAUCAUCUAGCUAGUAGUCUAUCAAUCUUGUUUAUCCUUUCAAAAAACAAACUUUUGGUUUCGUUGAUUCUUUCUAUAGAUUUUUUUUCUCAAUUUUGUUCAGUUUCUUCCUCUUCUUUUUAAUAUAGUGAGCCAGGUGUGGCAGAUGAUAUUUUCUAAAAAUGGCUGCAGCAAUCUAUCCAGUCCUACAUGUUCCUCCAGAACCAUGCCACCCUCCCAUCAAGAGGUGGAAUCUAUUUGUUCUCCCUUGAACCUGAGUGGAACUUUGAGACUGGUCAACAAAUAGAUUAGAGUGGAAGUGAUGCUGCAUGACUUCCAAAGCUAGGUCCUAUAAAGCAAUAUGGCUCUACCUGGCUCUCCCUCUUUGGCAUGCUCACCCUUGAGACCCAGGCUCCAUGCUAUAAGUAAGCCUCAACUGCAUGAGGAGACCAUGUGUGCUCUGACUAACAGCACUAGCUGAGACCCCCAGCUGGCAACCAGCGUUAGCCACCAGAAAUGUUAGUGAACUAGCCUCUAGAUGAUUUUAUAUCCUAGUCCUCGGCCUUUGAGCAGCCCCAAAUUGCAAAUUCUUGAGCAAAAAAAAAAAAAUGUCAUUGCUUAAGGUGGAAAGUUUGGGCGUGAUUUGUUAAUCAGGAUGAGAUAACUGUAACACCAGGGCUUCCUCUUCUGGAGGUGUGGAUAGUUUUUUGCUUCAAGGACAGAUAUGAGGCCCUUGUUUCCAGACAGGGUGAAUAAUAUCAAGGCUCAGAGGGUUCAAGCAGUGAGGUGGCAGUCUAGUCCACCAGGAAUAGGAUUUCUAAUCCCAGUAGAUAAGGGUAGGGAGUUGUGAGAGCAGUGGAAAUGUUGCCCUGCUCUCAAUCUGGCUUUGGGGAAGAGGCGGGACCUCUGAUAAGGCUGGCAACCAAAUACUAAGCUCAGUGAGCUUGGAAACUGCAGUUAAGGCUGUCAUGAUCUGCUGGGGGAGGAGGAGGUGUACAUGCACAUGUGUAUAUGCAUGUACAUGUGUGUGUAGUGGAGGGAUUGAAUCAGAAAAGCCAGCUGCCUUCAGGAGGACCACAAGAGCCAGAGCAAAGAAAAAUGGCAUAGUUACAACCACACACUGAAAGACACUCUUGGAGUUUUUGUCAUCCCCUGGGACUCUUGUUAGACCCUAGGAAGGAGACCAGAUCCCCAAACUUUGUUCUGAUGUUAUAUGUAUAUAUUGAAAAAUUGUUAGUCAUUUGUUCUAAUAUCAUUUAUCAGCUGAUUAGUUACCUGGUUAAUUCUUUUCUUACUAAUUUGAAAUAUUGUGUGAUCAUAUAAGAAUGUCUUUGGUCUGCUGUGUUUUUGUUCCAUUAAUCUGUCUGUAAUCACCAAUAUGAUUCCAUUUUAGUGACUAUAUAUUUAAAAUACAUUUUGAUAUCUUGUAGGGGGAAAUCCCAUUAUAUAUUCUCCCAGAAAUUUCUUGGCUUUCUCACAAGUGUAUUCCUUCAGGCAGGCUUUCAAAUCAUCUGGUGAUGUUCCUUUCAAAAAACUCAUUGGGGCUUUGGUGAGUAUUGUCUUGCAUAUGAAUAGUUAAAAAUGGUAGAUUGAACAUACACUUAGCUCUUCUCCCUCCCAGAAUCCCACUAAAUGAGAAUAAAGGAAUGUUUACAGAAGAUAUAAAUACAUGAGAACAAAGUAUGAGAUAGGAGACAUCAGUGACACGAUUUUGGAAGUUGGUGGACAGAUGGUAGGGGUUAAAUGAUUUAACAGACAUGAGAAAGCUGAAUCCUAAUCUGGAAGUUGGAAAAGGGGAGAAAUAACCUAAUGUACAUUGCAGACUCCUACAAAGAAGCAGGAUUUGGCAGGUGGAAUAAUCAGUUGAAAGACUGUUUAAAAAUUUAGUCCCUCAUAUCUCCAAUCCAAAUUUAUACAUCUGAACAAAUAUCCAUCCCCCAUUCUGGCAGGAGACUUGAAGUUUAUUCUCUAAGGAUGAUAAACAGAUGAUCUUUGAAUUAGGCAAUACCAGGUACAACUAAAACAGAGAUACCAAACAGAAAACAUGGGGACUAAGAUAAACCUUAUGUAUAGGACCUAAGAUCUCUAGCCAUCUUCCCUCAUAUAGCUCAGUAAUGUUGGCAGCCAGAUAUAUAUGUUCUUCUUAAAUUCUAGAAAUUUUAUAUUGAAAUCUUUUACUACUGAUUUCCUUCUAUUUUCUCUAUCCUCUAUUCAUAGAAUUUCAACUAUUCUAAAACAUUCUCCCCCUUCUAUGGAGGGGGUCAAAGGCAUCUUCUUUGAGAACCUAUCUUCCAAGAGAAAUAAGCACAAGACACUCAAAUCAAAAGUUUUCCAAAUAUUAUCCUAGAGAGAAGAGCACCAUUGAGAAGCACUCCCCCUGCCAUGAGCUCCCAGCCUUCUUUUUAGCGCCUGCCUCACUCUUAAAUAUGAGCAGACAGCCAAGGACUGCCAGACGUUUAUGAAAAAAACCCCACCUCACUUUAAAUGCCAAUACAAAUAGAAAGAAAAACUUAAUAAUAACUAGUAUUAAUAUCCCUAGAGAAUAUGAAUCAAUGAAGAAGUAGAUACUAUAAAACAAAUAUCCAGUGAACAUGAAACCUUAGAAAUAGACAAUAUGAUCGCAUAAACUAUUGGAAGAUACCCUGGGCACAGUGGCCCACACCUGUAAUCCCAGCACUUUGGGAGGCUGAGGCAGGUAGAUCACUGAGGUCAGGAGUUCGAGACCAGCCUGGCCAACAUGGUGAAAUCCCAUCUCUACUAAAAAUAUAAAAAUUAGCUGGGCGUGUGGCAGGUGCCUGUAAUCCCAACUACUUGGGAGGCGGAGGCACGAUAGUCACUUUAACCCAGGAGGCAGAGGUCGCAGUGAGCCGAGAUGGUGCCACUGCACUCCAGCCUGGACAACAGAGCAAGACUCCAUCUCAAACAACAUAAAAAAUCAAAAAAUAUAUAUUGGAAGAUAAAAUCAAGAGAAUCUCCCAGAAAGACUAGAAGAAAGAGAAGAAAAUAGAUAAUAUUUUUUAAAAUAGAGACUUAUCUAGAAUGUUCUAGAAUAAUUGAAGUUCUGGCCGGGCACGGUGGCUCACGCCUGUAAUCCCAGCACUUUGGGAGGCUGAGGCGGGUGGAUCACGAGGUCAGGAGAUGGAGACCAUCCUGGCUAACAUGGUGAAACCCCGUCUCUAACAAAAAUACAAAAAAAUUAGCCGGGCAUGGUGGUGGGCACCUGUAGUCCCAGCUACUCAGGAGGCUGAGGCAGGAGAAUGGCAUGAACCCAGAAGGCAGAAGUUGCAAUGAGCCACGAUAGCGCCACUGCACUCCAGCCUGGGCGACACAGCGAGACUCCGUCAAAAAAAAAAGAAUAAUUGAAGUUCUAUGAAUAGAGGAUAGUGAAAAUAGAUAAAAGGAAAUCACUAAUAAAAUAAUUCAAAAUAAAAUUUCCAGAAUCUAUGAGGAACAUGAAUGUCCUGAUAGAAAGGGAUGUCACUGAGCACCCAGAACAAUGGAUAAAGUAGACCAAAUCCAAGGCACAUUAUCGAGGAAUUUCACAAAGCUGGGGACAGAUAAUGGACAAUAUAAAGUCUCAGGGAGAAAAAAAAACAGGUUUCAUACAAAGUAUCAAGUAUAAGAAGACAUCAAACUUAUCAAUAACAAUAGUGGAAGCUAGAAGGCAAUGAAGCAACAACACACUAAAAAUUCUGAGGAAAAAUAACUUCAAGAACUCCAUUUUCAGUGUCUAAAAAACAAAACUCAUGUAGCCCCUUUUCAGGAAGCUGUUUGAAGAUGUGCUUCUAGAAAUUUAUGGAAUAAACCAAGAGAAAAAAAAAAGACACAAAGUCCAGGAAACAGAGAAUUCAAUUCAAGAGAAAGGCUGAGGGAAUCUCUGUGAUGAUAAUGAAUGGAGAGUUCUGGGUGGCUUCCAGUUAUUAGGUAUAAUGGUAAGCAGAAUUCUACGAUGACCCGCAAGAUUUUCACCCCUUGAUAUAUGUGCCCUGUAGAAUCCCCUCACAUGAGUGUGUGCAGGAUCUGUGAAUACGAUGGGAUAUUACUCCUGUGAUUAUGUUAUAUGGUGAAAAUGAAGAGGUUUUCAGAUGUUAUUAAAGUCCCUAAUCAGUUGACUUUAAGCUAAUCAAUAGGGAGAUUGUCCGGGAUGAAGUCUUACCUAACUAGAUGAGCCUUUUAAAAAUAGUCUAGAAAUCAUAGAGGGAAGGAGUCAAAGAGAUUUGAAACAUCAGAGAUUCUCCCCUGCUCACCUUAAAGAAGCAGACAGCCAUUUAUGUGGCGAGGACCACAUGUCAGGGAAUGGUGGGUGGUCUAUAGAAGCCAACGGCCUCAGUCCCAUAUCUACAAGGAACUGAAUCCUGCCAAGAGUGACAUGAGCUUGGAAGAGGAUCCUGAGCCUCAGAUGAGAAUUCAGCCCUAACAAAUACCUUGAUUUCAAUCCAGUGAGAUCCCAAACAGGGAAAUCAGCUAUGCUGUGCCUGGACUCCUAACCCAUGGAAAGUCUGAAAUAAUAAAUGUGUGCUAUUUUAACCCACCAAGUUUGUGGCAGUAAAUAAUUAAUGCAGGUGUAGAUGGCAAACAAUCCAGACUGAAGCAGCUCAGACUCUGGAAGGAUUUAUCCAGAGAUAUAAAAUUGUCCUAAUGUCCUGAGAGAUACAUACAACUUGAGGAUAAUUGGGAAAUGUAUUAGUAGUAAGUACACACAAAGCUAAGCAAUCAAACACCACAUCAUUGCUAACUUUAAGAAAAACAGAAUGCUGCAAAAAAAAAUAGUCAUAGUAUAUAAGGCAACUUAGUUAUAAAUAGGAUUUACAGAGUCAGUAUGAUGUAAAAACCAAAUGAUGGUCUAAGCAAAAUCACAUGAUAAAUACAGUGGGAGGAUGAAGAUGAGAAAUAUAUGUAGGAGUACGAGUGGGGUGAGAUUUUGCAAAAGCAAAAUCUUCAUCUUUCAUACCAGGAGUGAUAGACAAUGACUAGAACAAAAAAUUCAGAAAUUGCAGUGUAUGUCUAUCAUGGUGCCUCUGGGAAGGGAAACAUUUGAGUGGAUGAAGCAGGUAACUUUUGUUUUUUAUUGAAACCUUGUGAAAGUACUUGACUCUUUAAAAUAUGUGAAUGCAUAACUUGGACAAAAAUGAAAAUAAAUUUAAAGUAAAGAAUUGAAAGUUCAGUAGAUUAAAGACACAUAAUAUUAGUUCUUGAGAUGAUGUUUUCAUUUAAUUGUAUUUUCAAAUACCUCCCACUUAUUGGCUGUUUAUAAGUGAACAAGAUUAUAAACUGUAAAAUUCAAUUCACUUAUUCCAUGUGUGAAUAAAUGCCACAAAAGAAAAUAAGAAUUUCCUUUUCCCAAUCACAAACAUUUCCCUUACAAAAUCACCUUCAGGAAGUAACCUGACCAAAUAAACGAGAGCUUCCAUUUCUCAAUUUUUAGCACAUCAUAGGGUGAAGGGAUUAUUUCUGUUUUCCCUUUUGUUCCUUAGAGUAACAUUAAAAUAUUUGUAAUAUAUUGACACCCCUGAUGAAAGAUCAAACAUUUCAGUGUUUGUUUCUUCAACAAUCAACUUCUCAUUUGGAAUAGCUGGAAUCUAAAUUCAUUUUUCUCACACUUUUCACUCUCCAGAUGCUGGAAUUGCGCUAGAUCAUGAAGAAGAUAUGUUGUGGUUGUUUUCAUAUUUUCUAUUGAGUGGUAUUCACCAGCAAUGUGACAGAAUUCAGUGUACAUCAGCAAGGUGUACCUUUUACCAUUUCUCGCACUUACUAUGUGAGUUCCUAAACCCUGUUAAGCAGCUAUCUCCAUUUCAGUAAAAUGGAUAGUAAUAACAUCUCCAAUAUGGGAUUUUUGAGUAGCUUACAUGAGAUAAAUAAGCAAAGGGCUUAGCACAAUGUAAGAAGUCAAUAAGCAUUAGCUGCUGAUAUCAUUGCUAUUCAGGAAAAAGAACUGUGAUUAAUAAUAAGCAUUAAUAUUAAUGUUUAAUAAAUUUAAGAAUAAAAUUCUAACUUUAACCAAGUAGAAGUUUUGUUGCUGGGCAAGAUGGCUGAAUAGGAACAGCUCCGGUCUGCAGCUCCCAGCGAGAUCAACACAGAAGGCGGGUGAUUUCUGCAUUUCCCACAGAGGUACCCAGCUCAUCUCAUUGGGAAUGGUUAGACAGUGGGUGCAGCCCAUGGAAGGUGAGCAGAAGCAGAGUGGGGCAUUGCCUCAGCUGGGAAGUGCAAGAGGUUGGGGAAUUCCCUCCCCUAGCCAAGGGAAGCUGUGAGGGACUGUGCUGUGAGGGACUGUGCAUUCCGGCCCAGAUACUACACUUUUCCUACAAUCUUUGCAACCCACAGACCAGGAGAUUCCCUCAGGUGCCUAUACCACCAGGGCCCUGGGUUUUAAGCACAAAACUGGGCAGCCAUUUGGGCAGACACCAAGCUAGCUGCAAGAGUUAUUUUUCAUACCCCAGUGGCACCUGGAACGCCAGGGAGAUAGAACCAUUCACUCCCCUGGAAAGGGGGCUGAAGCCAGGGAUCCAAGUGGUCUAGCUCAGUGGAUCCCAUUCUUAUGGAGCCCACAGCAAGCUAAGAUCCACUGGCUUGAAAUUCUCACUGCCAGCACAGCAGUCUGAAGUUGACCUGGGACACUCAAACUUGGUGGGGGGAGGGGCGUCCACCAUUACUGAGGCUUGAGUAGGCGGUUUUCCCCACACAGUGUAAACAAAGCCACCAGGAAGUUCAAAUCGGGCAGACCCCACUGCAGAUCAGCAAAGCCACUGUAGCCAGACUGCCUCUCUAGGCUCCUCCUCUCUGGUCAGGGCAUCUCUGAAAAAAAGGCAGCAGCCCCAGUCAGGGGCUUAUAGAUAAAACUCUCAUCUCCCUGGGACAGAGCACCUGGGGGAGGGGGCGGCUGUGGGUGCAGCUUCAGCAGACUUAAACGUUCCUGCCUGCCAGCUCUGAAGACAGCAGUGGAUCUCCCAGCACAGCGCUCAAGCUCUGCUAAGAGACAGGCUGCCUCCUCAAGUGGGUGUCUGACCCCCUUGCCUCCUGACUGGGAGACAUCUCCCAGCAGGGGUCAACCUCAUAAAGGAGAGCUCCAGCUGGCAUCUGGUGGGUGCCCUUCUGGGACGAAGCUUCCAGAGGAAGGAACAGACAGCAAUCUUUGCUGUUCUGCAGCCUCUGCUGGUGAUACCCAGGCAAACAGGGUGUGGAGUGGACCUCCAGCAAACUCCAGCAGACCUGCAGCAGAGGGGCCUGACUAUUAGAAGGAAAACUAACAAACAGAAAGGAAUAGCAUCAACAUCAACAAAAAGGAUGUCCACACAGAAACCCCAUCCGAAGGUCACCAACAUCAAAGACCAAAGGUAGAUAAAUCCAUGAAGAUGAGGAAAAGCCAGCGCCAAAAGGCUGAAAAUUCCAAAAACCAGAAUGCCUCUUCUCCUCCAAAGGAUCACAACUCCUCACCAGCAAGGGAACAAAACUGGAUGGAGAAUGAGUUUGAUAAAUUGACAGAAGUAUGCUUCAGAAGGUGCAUAAUAACAAACUCCUCCCAGCUAAAGGAGCAUGUUCUAACCCAAUGCAAGGAAGCUAAGAACCUUGAGAAAAGGUUAGAGGAAUUGCUAACUAGAGUAACCAGUUUAGAGAAGAACAUAAAUGACCUGAUGGAGCUGAAAAACAUAGCACGAGAACUUUGUGAAGCAUACACAAAUAUCAAUAGUCGAACCAAUCAAGUGGAAGAAAGGAUAUCAGAGAUUGAAGAUCAACUUAAUGAAAUAAAGGAUGAAGACAAGAUUAAAAAGAAUGAAAAGGAAAAACAAAGCCUCCAAGAAAUAUGGGACUAUGUGAAAAGACCAAAUCUACAUCUGAUUGGUGUACCUGAAAUUGAUGGGGAGAAUGGAACCAAGUUGGGAAACACUCUUCAGGAUAUUCUCCAGGAGAACUUCCUCAACCUAGCAAGACAGGCCAACAUUCAAAUUCAGGAAAUACAGAGAAUACCACAAAGAUACUCCUUGAGGAGAGCAACCCCAAGGUACAUAAUUGUCAGAUUUGCCAAGGUUGAAAUGAAGGAAAAAAAUGUUAAGGGCAGCCAGAGAGAAAGGUCAGGUUACCCACAAAGGGAAGCCCAUCAGACUAACAGUGGAUCUCUUGGCAUAAACCCUACAAGCCAGAAGAGAGUGGGGGCCAAUAUUCAACAUUCUUAAAGAAAAGAAUUUUCAACCCAGAAUUUCAUAUCCAGCCAAACUAAGCUUCAUAAGCAAAGGAGAAAUAAAAUCCUUUCCAGACAAGCAAAUGCUGAGAGAUUUUGUCACCACCAGGCCUGCCUUAGAAGAGUUCCUGAAGGAAGCACUAAAUAUAGAAAGGAAAAAUCAGUACUAGCCACUGCAAAAACAUACCAAAUUGUAAAGACUGUUGACACUAUGAAGAAACUGCAUCAACUAAUGGGCAAAAUAACCAGCUAGCAUCAUAAUGACAGGAUCAAAUUCACACAUAAAAAUAUUAACCUUAAAUGUAAAUGGGCUAAAUGCCCCAAUUAAAAGACACAGACUGCAAAUUGGGUAAAGAGUCAAGACCCAUCAGUGUGCUGUAUUCAGGAGACCCAUCUCACAUGCAGAGACAUACAUAGGCUCAAAAUAAAGGAAUGGAAAUAAAGGCUCAAAAUAAGGCAAAUGGAAAGCCAAAAACAGCAGGGGUUGCAAUCCUAGUCUCUGAUAAAACAGUCUUUAAACCAACGAAGAUCAAAAAAGUCAAAGAAAGGUGUUACAUAAUGGUAAAGGGAUCAAUGCAACAAGAAGAGCUAACUAUCCUAAAUAUAUAUGCACCCAAUGGAGGAGCACCCAGAUUCAUAAAGCAAGUCCUUAGAGACCUACAAAGAGACUUAGACUCCCACACUGUCAAUAUUAGACACAUCAACAAUGAAGGAAAACAUGUUAAGGGCAGCCAGAGAGAAAGGUUGGGUUACCCACAAAGGGAAGCCUAUCAGACUAACAGCUGAUCUCUUGGCAGAAACUCUACAAGCCAGAAGAGAGUGGGGGCCAAUAUUCAACAUUCUUAAAAGAAUUUGCAACCCAGAAUUUCAUAAGUGAAGAAGAAAGAAAAUCCUUUACAGACAAGCAAAUGCUGAGAGAUUUUGUCACCACCAGGCCUGCCCCAAAAGAGCUCCUGAAAGAAGCACUAAACAUGGAAAGGAACAACUGGUACCAGCCACUGCAAAACAUGCCAAAUUGUAAAGACCAUCGAGGCUAGGAAGAAACUGCAUCAACUAAUGAACAAAAUAACCAGCAAACAUCAUAAUGACAGGAUCAAAUUCACACAUAACAAUAUUAACCUUAAAUGUAAAUGGGCUAAAUGCUCCAAUUAAAAGACACAGACUGGCAAAUUGGAUAAAGAGUCAAGACCCAUCAGUGUGCUGUAUUCCGGAGACCCAUCUCACAUGCAGAGACACACAUAGGCUCAAAAUAAAGGGAUGGAGCAAGAUCUACCAAGCAAAUGGAAAACAAAAAAAGGCAGGGGUUGCAAUCCUAGUCUCUGAUAAAACAGACUUUAAACCACCAAAGAUCAAAAGAGACAAAGAAGGCCAUUACAUAAUGGUAAAGGGAUCAAUUCAACAAGAAGAGCUAACUAUCCUAAAUAUAUAUGCAUCCAAUACAGAAGCACCCAGAUUCAUAAAGCAAGUCCUUAGAGAUCUACAAAGAGACUUAGACUCCCACACAAUAAUAAUGGGAGACUUUAACACCCCACUGUUAACAUUAGACAGAUCAACAAGACAGAAAGUUAACAAGGAUAUCCAGGAAUUGAACUCAGCUCUGCACCAAGUGGACCUAAUAGACAUCUACAGAACUCUCCACCCCAAAUCAACAGAAUAUACUUUCUUCUCAUCAGUACCACACCACACUUAUUCCAAAAUUGACCACAUAGUUGGAAGUAAAGCACUCCUCAGCAAAUGUAAAAGAACAGAAAUUAUAACAAACUGUCUCUCAGACCACAGUGCAAUCAAACUAGAACUCAGGAUUAAGAAACUCACUCAAAACUGAUCAACUACAUGGAAACUGAACAACCUGCUCCUGAAUGACUACUGGGUAUGUAACGAAAUGAAGGCAGAAAUAAAGAUGUUCUUUGAAACCAAUGAGAACAAAGACACAACAUACCAGAAUCUCUGGGACACAUUCAGAGCAGUGUGUAGAGGGAAAUUUAUAGCACUAAAUGCCCACAAGAGAAAGCAAGAAAGAUCUAAAAUUGACACCCUAACAUCACAAUUAAAUGAACUAGAGGAGCAAGAGCAAACAAAUUGAAAAGCUAGCAGAAGGCAAGAAAUAACUAAGAUCAGAGCAGAACUGAAGGAGAUAGAGACACAAAAACUCUUCAAAAAAUCAGUGAAUCCAGGAGCUGGUUUUUUGAAAAGAUCAACAAAAUUGAUAGACUGCUAGCAAGACUAAUAAAGAAGACAAGUGAGAAGAAUCAAAUAGAUGCAAUAAAAAAUGAUAAAGGGGAUAUCACCACCGAUCCCACAGAAAUACAAACUACCAUCAGAGAAUACUAUAAACACCUCUAUGCAAAUAAGCUAGAAAAUCUAGAAGAAAUGGAUAAAUUCCUGGACACAUACAUCCUCCCAAGACUAAACCAGGAAGAAGUUGAAUCCCUGAAUAGACCAAUAACAGUUUCUGAAAUGGAGGCAAUAAUUAAUAGCCUACCAACCAAAAAAAGUCCAGGACCAGACACAUUCACAGCCAAAUUCUACCAGAGGUACAAGGAGGAGCUGGUACCAUUCCUUCUGAAACUAUUCUAAUCAAUAGAAAAAGAGGGAAUCCUCCAUAACUCAUUUUAUGAGGCCAGCAUCAUCCUGAUACCAAAGCCUGGCAGAGACACAACAAAAAAAGAGAAUUUUAGACCAAUAUCCCUGAUAAACAUCGAUGCAAAAAUCCUCAAUAAAAUACUGGCAAACCGAAUCCAGCAGCACAUCAAAAAGCUUAUCCACCAUGAUCAAGUGGGCUUCAUCCCUGAGAUGCAAGGCUGGUUCAACAUGCGCAAAUCAAUAAACGUAAUCCAGCAUAUAAACAGAACCAAAGAAAAAACCACAUGAUUAUCUCAAUAGAUGCAGAAAAGGCCUUUGACAAAAUUCAACAACACUUCAUGCUAAAAACUCUCAAUAAAUUAGGUAUUGAUGGGACGUAUCUCAAAAUAAUAAGAGCUAUCUAUGACAAACCCACAGCCAAUAUCAUACUGAAUGGGCAAAAACUGGAAGCAUUCCCUUUGAAAACUGGCACAAGACAGGGAUUCCCUCUCUCACCACUCCUAUUCAACAUAGUGUUGGAAGUUCUGGCCAAGGCAAUCAGGCAGGAGAAAGAAAUAAAGGGUAUUCAGUUAGGAAAAGAGGAAGUCAAAUUGUCCCUGUUUGCAGAUGACAUGAUUCUAUAUUUAGAAAACCCCAUCGUCUCAGCCCAAAGUCUCCUUAAUGACUUCAGCAAAGUCUCAGGAUACAAAAUCAAUGUGCGAAAAUCACAAGCAUUUUUUACACCAAUAACAGACAAACAGAUCCAAAUCAUGAGUGAACUCCUAUUCACAAUUGCUUCAAAGAGAAUAAAAUACCUAGGAAUCCAACUUGCAAGGGAUGUGAAGGACCUCUUCAAGGAGAACUACAAACCACUGCUCAAUGAAAUAAAAGAGGACACAAACAAAUGGAAGAACAUUCCAUGCUCAUGGAUAGGAAGAAUCAACAUUGUGAAAAUGACCAUACUGCCCAAGGUAAUUUAUAGAUUCAGUGCCAUCCUUGGAUGCAAGCUACCAAUGACUUUCUUCACAGAAUUGGAAAAAAUUACUUUAAAGUUCAUAUGGAACCAAAAAAGAGCUCACAUUCCCAAGACAAUCCUAAGCCAAAAGAACAAAGCUGGAGGCAUCACGCUACCUGACUUCAAGCUAUACUACAAGGCUACAGUAACCAAAACAGCAUGGUACUGGUACCAAAACAGAGCUAUAGACCAAUAGAACAGAACAGAGCCCUCAGAAAUAAUACCACACAUCUACAACCAUCUGAUCUUUGACAAACCUGACAAAAACAUGAAAUGGGGAAAGGAUUCCCUAUUUAAUAAAUGGUGCUGGGAAAACUGGCUAGCCAUAUGUAGAAAGCUGAAGCUGCAUCCCUUCCUUACACCUUAUACUAAAAUUAAUUCAAGAUGGAUUAAAGAUUUAAAUGUUAGACCUAAAACCAUAAAAACCCUAGAAGAAAACCUAGGCAAUACCAUUCAGGACAUAGGCAUGGGCAAGGACUUCAUGUCUAAAACACCAAAAGCAAUGGCAACAAAAGCCAAAAUUGACAAAUGGCAUCUAAUUAAACUAAAGAACUUCUGCACAGCAAAAGAAACUACCAUCAGAGUGAACAGGCAACCUACAGAAUGGGAGAAAAUUUUUGCGAUCUACUCAUCUGACAAAGGGCUAAUAUCCAGAAUCUACAAAGAACUCAAACAAAUUUACAAGAAAAAAACAAACAGCCCCAUCAGAAAGUGGGCGAUGGAUAUGAACAGACAUUUCUCAAAGGAAGACAUUUAUGCAGCCAACAGACACAUGAAAAAAUACUCAUCAUCACCGGCCAUCAGAGUAAUGCAAGUCAAAACCACAAUGAGACACCAUCUCACACCAGUUAGAAUGGUGAUCAUUAAAAAGUCAGGAAACAACAGGUGCUGGAGAGGAUGUGGAGAAAUAGGAACACUUUUACACUGUUGGUGGGACUGUAAACUAGUUCAACCAUUGUGGAAGACAGUGUGGCGAUUCCUCAAGGAUCUAGAACUAGAAAUACCAUUUGAUCCAUCCAUCCCAUUACUGGGUAUAUACCCAAAGGAUUAUAAAUCAUGCUGUUAUAAAGACACAUGCACACGUAUGUUUAUUGCGGCACUAUUCACAAUAGCAAAGACUUGGAACCAACCCAAAUGUCCAACAAUGAUAGACUGGAUUAAGAAAAUGUGGCACAUAUACACCAUGGAAUACUAUGCAGCCAUAAAAAAUGAUGAGUUCAUGUCCUUUGUAGGGACAUGGAUGAAACUGGAAACCAUCAUUCUGAGCAAACUAUCACAAGGACAAAAAACCAAACACUGCAUGUUCUCACUCAUAGGUGGGAAUUAAACAAUGAGAACACUUGGACACAGGAAGGGGAACAACACAUACAGGGGCCUGUUGUGGGGUGGGGAGAGUGGGGAGGGAAAGCAUUAGGAGAUAUACCUAAUGUAAAUGAUGAGUUAAUGGUUGCAGCACACCAACAUGGCACAUGUAUACAUAUGUAACAAACCUGUAUGUUGUGCACGUGUACCCUAGAACUUAAAGUAUAAUUAAAAAGAAAAUACAAACUUUAAGUUAAAAAUGUAAUAAAAAUAAUAAUAAUUGUAAUAAGUUUUACAAUUCUGUAUAUGGAAUUUUCUCACCCUGCUUAAGAAAUAAAUGCCUAAUUAAUUAAUUUCUACCCUUUUUAUGAAACUAGAUUAAACGUAGUAAUCUGCAUAAUCUUUUUUAUACAUUUGAAUCUGCAAUUCAGAAAAUGUUUUAAUGAUGGAGUAGUUGCAUCCAUACACCUACAUAAAAUUAAAAAUACAUUAUUUUUCACACUCAGAAUUUCACAAAUAAUUUUGUUGGAAAUCUACAAGUUCUUUGGAAAGUUGGUAGGAAAAUUGUGUUUAAAUAGCCACUGACUUUUAAUUCUCAGAAGAUACAAAUGAAUUCAUCUGACCUUAUCUAGGAAACCACAUUACUACAUGUGAUUAUUAUUUGCACAUAUAGAGCGAGAAAGCGUACUAAAGAGUUAUCCUUGUGUAAACUUAAUUCUUCAACCAUUAAGACUUUGGCUGGGAAAGAAAAUGAGAAUGAAUGAGGGUUCCUCAGUUCAGAUUCUUCUUCACUCGCCUUUAACCAUUUAUUUUUUGCUCAAAAAAAUUUUUUUAAAGCACAAAUGCCUAUGCUUUCACAUUUCCAAAUGACAAACUUAAAACUUCACUUUAGCAGUAUGUUCAUCAUAGCUCAGGAAAAAAUCUCAAUACAAUGUAAAGAAUGAAAGCCUAUAAAGACAUAUUAAUCUUUUGCUUUGAUUGGUUUUGUUCCAUUGCAGUUCUAUAAAGAUACAUGAAUUAAGAACAUUGAGCUUAGGAACUGCUAAAUUGAGGAUUUCUCUAGAAUGCUUUCUUCUCUUGUAAACUCGUGGAAAUUAAAUGAAAAAACUAUGUUACCACAAUAUUUCUGUGCAAAGACCAAACUUUAGAAAAGUUGUCAGGAAAUUCCAAAACUUCUACACCCUAAUUACGUGGGUGUUGUGGCCUGAAUGUAAUUUUUCUAUUCCUCUUUUCCUUGUUAAAUUUAUACCUUCAAUACAGUUCUGUUCAUGUGGUAAAAACUGUGUCAUAAUUUGCCCAGGGUAUGCAGUGUGGCCAAGUUCUCACUGUUCUUAAGAUCCUUAACUGGGCAUUUCCUGACUUUUGAUUUUUCACCCUUUAAACAAUUUUGCAUUAAUGCACACCAUACAGGAUAUUAGCUUGAGAGAAAAGAAAGAAAUUUAGGAUAAGGAUAUUUGUAAACAUGUGGCACCCACAGAGAACAGUUCAAUAAGACCAGAUUUGCUGUUUGAAUAAAUAUGCUUUUUAGGGCACUCAGCUUAUUCUUCUAAGCAUGAGAGGAAGAGAAAGACAAAUCUUUAUUUUGCAUUUUUUAUAAAAGCUAUCCUAGUUUCACCUCAUUUAUCAUUCAGCUACAAAAUGAAAACUUGGCCUUUGUUCACUCACAACUCUAAUUUUUCAGAAAAUCAUGCACAGAUUUGAACAACUCUCACUUCUGAGUGGUUAACAUGAAACCUUAAGUUUUUAGAAUGUGGAUAAGUUUUAACAAGGAAGGAAAACAAUUUCAAUCAGGUAAGAAAACAGUUUAAUUUGGAGAUUCAAGCCCUUAAAUAAUGGGGAUCUAGAGUAGGAUUAGAAAUCAAGAGAGAUCGAGAUCCCCACAGACCAUAGUUAAAAUGAAACUAGUUCCAGUGUGGUGCAAAUUGAAAUUGAUAUUAAUAGUUAAUAUUGUAGUGGAUUUCAGGAGUAAAUUUUCUGUACAAGUGUAGAAAACUAUGAUUGAUAUGUAAUAUAAUGAAGUUUGCCCUGUUUCUUAACUAAGUUGUGGUCUACCACCAUCCCCCCACUCUUCCUGUCCUCUCCCCAUCUCUCCCUCCCUCUCCCCAUCUCUCUCUCUCUUUCCACACACACUCUUUUCUCUCUCUCUCUCCCCACUCUCUCUCCUGUUUUCCAAGUGGAACAGAGUUGGCUAGAGAUGAUGGUCUUAGCUGUAUAUCCCGGUCUUAGCUGUAUGUCCCUUCCACCCUCUUUCUCUUGUUGCCUAAUUCCUCCUACCUCAGAACCCUGACUCUGUGGAUUCACAUUCUUUUGGCACUUGGUGCCAACUUGCCUUCUGCCACUUGGCCAUCCAGCUAUUGUGUGCUCUCUGAUGGGGCAGCUGGCAGAAGAGGGGCCAUCACUCCCUUGAUUCACAGAUGUGAUCAUUUAAUCAAUUGUUCAACAAUCAUUUAUUGCAUAUCACCAUGUGCCUGGCACUUGGAUUGGAGUCCCUGGGAGGAAUAAUGUUUUUCCAACUUACCUUGACUCUUCCUCUGCAACUCCUCAAGGUCCCACUCCACAGCCUUGCAUGGUGAGUAGGCUCUCACUUUCUUUGGUGAUCCUGGACUCCCAAUUUUGUUCUCCUAGACUUAGGAAACUGUCAGACAUUUUGCUCAACUUCUCAGCUUCUUCGUUCCCUCAUUUGGGCUUGACAAAUGUCUUAAAGGAGAAGGAAUACCCAAAUGGCAGGCUUACCUCUCUGCAGUUCUGUCUGCUCCCAGUUCCUUGAAGUUAAAGUUGUUUAAUCCCUUGUUAGCAGUUCAAUGCCUUAAAGCAGCUGUUUUAAACAACUUUUCCAGCUUUUCUCAACAAGUUGUUUUAAACAGCUUGUCCAGUUUGUCCCUCAUUGGAGGGGUGUUUCCAAUGAUCUAGUCUUCCCUCACCUUUUAAGAUUCUUUUCCACAUCUUAGCUUCCUGAGAUCGUAUCUCUCAUACCCCUUUCUUUUAAGCAGAAUUCAUCAUGUCAUUCUCUGUGUCAGCAAACUCCUGAGUGCAUGCCUGUAUUAAAGAGUGUAUUCCUGUUAUAAAACUUACUUAAACAUUUGUCUCUCGUCUUAGACAGUUCAUGUGUAAAGGACACUAAUUAUAUCUAACAUAUAUUUGUGCCCCUAGUGCCUAAUGUUGGUGCAUAUAAUAGAUCUUCAAUAAUGCUUAUUGAUGGAAUAGGUGGCAUUUCAUAUAAAUGUUAUUGUUCAUUAGAUUCAGUGUCUCAAAUGAAAAGUGUGAGCUUUCUUCCCACCACAAGAAGAAAAGGAGAACGAAACUUGUAUAUCUCAUAUAGAAUGCUUCAGAUAGGGAAAUUAGAAAACCAAGUAUCAUCUUUGGUUUUGUCAAAGGGAGAGUGGGGAAAUAAGAAAAGAUAAGUACAGUAAUCAUCAAGGUUAGAAAGGAAAAAAGAAAGAGAAGAAAUCUUUAAAUCCUUAUACACAAAUUUUUUGGGAUGAUUUUCCAAGAUGUUAGCCUAUUUACAUUGUUCAGCCUCUGCAUGUGUGUCAUUAUCUCCCAAAGGAGAAUCACAUGAUACCCAAAUAUCUGCCUUUAAUCCUCAUGCCUGGUGGGAUGGGUGUUCAAAAGGAAAGGAAUUCUGACAAUUGUUUUCAGAGAUAUCCACCUCAAUAUUUAGGGUUUCUGGGUGGAUAUUUGAUAAAUUGUGUAGAAAUAUUUAAAAGUACAGAAUAAUAAUAAUAAAAAGUGCACUUUCGGCACAAUAUGUGGAUGGGAAGUAAAGGAAAUGGCACUUUUUCCUCACAGUGAAAAUUUAUUUAUAAAAUACAAAAAAUUGUCCUAUUUACAGUACAUUAAUUACUGCAAAUGGCAUAAGCAGAAGGAAUUUAUGUGAAAUUGCAGUUUUGCCUUUUCAUUCUUGUCCUAUUCUCAGCCUUUUUUUUUCUCCAUAUCUUCCCCUAUAAAAUAAAAGAAAAUAGUCACAUGGACAAUUUCCUUCUGUUGUUUAAGGAUGUCUCAAUUCUCAGAGUAGCAACAGUAUGCUAUGAUAAUAUUUCUAAUUUCAAAUUUUGCAGUUAAAAAAAUACAAAACCUGUCACUCAUGAUCAAUAAUGCACAGAAAUCAUGGAGUGACAGUCUCUAAAAUUGCCAUUAAAAUAAUGUGAGCAACACGCUUCACCAUGAUCUAUUUAUUCAGCACAAUUUUACUGUUAAAAAAACAAAGUCAAGGGAACCUGUAACUAUUAAGCACCUUACCACACCGAUCUUGUAUUCUCCCCAAUAAGCAUAAGAGGUAGGUGAUCUUACCCUCAGAGAGCCAAGGAAGCAAGGGUUCUGAGAGAUGUAGUGCCUUGUCCAAAGCAAGGAAGUGGAAAAAGAGAAUCCAAACACAAACUCCAGUUCUCUUGCUUGCAGAAUCUCUGCUGUUUCCACUUGACCACACCAUUUUCAGUCUUCAGGCAGGGUAUGGAUGGAUCAUGGCUCUGACACCUAAAAAAAUGAACUCCUCCAAUGUAAUGCAAAAUAAAAUAAUGCCAAACCCUAAAAGAAGUACAAAAACAUGCCACAUUGUCUUACUUUUUUCCCCAUGGUAAAUAUUUUAUUUAUUUAUAGAAGUAUCAAUAACCAAUUUUUUUCAAAGAGCCCUCUCUCUCCCUCCUCUACCCUCUCUCCCACCCGCUUGGUAGUGUUCUAAGCACAUAGCUUGUUUUUCAUUUGUGUAAUCUGGUACUAGUCAGGGUAGGAAAACUUUUUCUCUAUCGAGCAGAGUUUCUUAAGUAAGGUUUAUGGGCAACUAAGGAGUCAAUAGAGGGAUGAAAGAUAUCGAUGAGAGCUCUGAUGUAAUGUGCAAAAUGUUGUGUAUAUAGGCAGUUUUCUGGGGUGUAGGGUAGAGCUUUUGUUGCUGUCCUCAAUAGAUGAAAAACCAUUGUUUACACAUUCUCUUCUAAAUUAAUAACAAGGAUUAUAAAAUGUUAUUCAAUAACUACCAAAAAUCAAGAUAAUUCUUGCUAACUUAUCCUUACAUAGCUUUUCAUCUCUCCUUGGCAUUGUUCUAAGCAUUUUAUGUAUAUUAUUUAAUCCUCACAAGAACCCAACGUAGUUAGUAUUAUCAUGGUUUCCACUUUAUUUAAGGUGCAAGAUAUUUCAUAAAUAAAAACAUCUCAGUUCUAUAUUAUGAUAAUAGCUAAUGGAGAAAGGUAGAAGAACAGAAGAGAGGGAAAGAGAAAAAGGAAGAAAAAUAGAGCAAGGAAGGAUGCAGAUGAAAGGGUGAGGAAGAGAAAUCUAGUGCUGAAGUAUUGUAGGAAAACAGAAGUGACAACUAUGUAUAGGCUGGGGCAACCAUAGCUGUAAAAACACAAUUCUGCUAUUUGCCAAAGCUACAAGCAUUAACAGAUUAAUUAUUUUAGAAGAAAAAAGAAUACAUAAAUGAUUAGAUUAAAAACAUGUAUAAACACUGUCAGAAUUUAUUAGGAGAACUGUCUGAAUUUCAGCCUAAUGUUUAGAAGCACAGACAUUUCUGAAAAGUUCUCUUUUCUUCAUUUGAUGGAAAAUCCUUAUUCACACAGUGUGGAAACAGGCUGAGAAAAUAGUCAUUUCAUUGAAUAAACAUCCAUCUUCCACAUGGUCUUUUGGACAUUAAUUAAUGGUUCCUCAUAGCUCACCCUGUAUAUUGGUGAAAUUAAGCCAAGAACUGUAUCAAGACUAUGGAUGAAUGCCUGUCUAUCCUUCCUCACUCGCCAAGUCUACCAUGAAAUUAAACUGAGCUGUUAUAAUUGGAAAGCGGAUUAUCUAUAUUGUAACUGAAAUGCUCUCAGUACGUUUAAACUAGCCCUGUAUAGUGCCUGUGAUGAUAAAUAUUGUAGGAAUUUGAACUAGAUUCUUUCUUCUCUUUAAUGAAAAGCUCAUGAAUACAGUAAGUGCCUUUAGGAUAGGGAAGUUAGUAUGGUUUUCCUUUCAUAUUAAAGAAGUUUUGUUACUUGAGAGAGAAUGAAUGAUCUUGGCUCAGUGUUGAGUUUCUCAUUUUCUUUUGUUUUCAUCUUUAAAAAUGUGGGGAGAAGAGUGGGUUUGAAUAUAAAAAUUGACUUUGUUUUUUCCUUUAUUCUCAAUGAUCAAGGUGGAUCUGAGAUGCACAUUUUUCAAGCAAGUGUUUUCUAAUAUAUUUGGUAUUUGUUGUGUUAUGUCUCCCCUACACCACCCCUCAUCCCUCACAUACAUUGUCUACUCUACAAGACUGUAGAGCCAUGGAAUUAGGGCCACAACUUAGGGAACAGGGGCAGGGAGGGACCAUUCAGGCUCUAUGUGAAUUGUUUUUCUCACAGAACUAAUGGAUUCACAAUUUAGACUAAAUGGCUAUCAAAGAUGGACGUUAAAUACCUUGAAUUGGCUCUGAAUGACCAAAUUUUCUUUCAAAAAGCUAAGCAUAUAUAUUUCAAAGGUAGAAAGGGAACUUGCAUAUUCAUUGUUCUCUUUAUGUUCACUUAUAAAAAUACGUACUCCCUACUUGCCCAUUUCUUUUCAUUGGACAUAGACUGUUGUCACAAUCAGCUCAUGAAGCUGUCAGCAGAUCCAUGGAGACUGCUUUAAAGUAAAGGCAAUGUAACAUCAAUGCAAAUCCCAUGAUUAUUAACGAAACAAAUAGAAUUCAUUUAAAAUGACUUUUACAGUUGAAGUCUCCUCUCAGAAAUCUUCCCCACUAUUCUGUUUCCGUUUCAAAGUCACAUCUUUGUUAAUGACAUCAUGGAAUCCUGAAUUCAAAUUGCUUGUGUUUUGUUAAGCUUUGGGAACACUCAUGCUAGAGUUCCAGCUUUGCUAGGGCAUAUUAGAAAACCACAUACUAUUUAAAAGGGUUUUAGUAUUGGUUAAACACUUUGUGUAUUAAAAUGCUAUAUUAUUGCAGCAGAGUUGAAAAUCUUCCCUUGAAUUGGGAAUAUUAAGUAAAAGAAUUCAGCUAAAGGUAUAUCACUAAAAUAUUUGCAGAUAAAGAACAUUUGAAUUAUGACUCCAAUUUUUACUCACUUUUUCCAAAAAGAAAAUUUAUUAAGUGCUUGCCAUCUGCCAGACAUUGGCUAUAUGUUAAAUAAGGAGAAGAGAAUAAUGUAAAGAAAGAUCAGGCAUACCCAUGAUGCUCAAGGAUUUUUUUGGAAUUUAUAAGUGAGGGAAAUGCAAAUGCAUAAUUCCAGUACAGCAUGCUGAGGGCCAUGGCAGGGGUAUGCCUCAUGAGAUUGAGAGCCAAUUGCCUGAAGGAAUCUGGUGAUUAGUUUUGGAAGGGAAAUAUAAAUCUGGCCAUCAAAGAGGAAGGAUGUUGUGGGUAGUUGCCAGAUUCUCUAGCUGCCUAGACCGUUUAAACACUCUUGUAAUGGUUGGGAAACUUCUUGCAUCCCCAAUAUAGAAGGCAAAAACCUUUCUUCACCAGACUCACUUGGAGCUAAACACUUGCCUAUUACCUAGAUUCCAGCAGUCAGAGGGGUAAACAGGAGACAUUGAUAUAUAGGUGAGCAAUGGAAGUGGUAGGUGUGUGGGUUUGCCUUUUGGAGACAGAAGUAGAGCUUUAGUGUGAGCAAUGCAGGGGUGGGGAAAUCUGUGAUGUUGAGUCAGAAAGAGGAGGCUAGGGUAUUUGGGUAUUGUUCUUGGCAUCUGAGUACACAAAAGUCCCUGACUCUUCUGGGAACUUUGUAAGCUUCUUCAUACCGCUCAAUAUGUUUUGUGAACUACCAGUAUCCUAUAAUAAAUGUCCUUUUGCUAGAAUGAGUAUAGUUUGGACUUGAGGACCUCGACUGAUAGAAAUAUGUAGGUAUUUAUGGUUUGGCCAAGGCAGAAAGAAGAGGGUGUGCAAAGAAAAGAAGAAAUUAAGGAAGUAGGCUAAGUUAGAGUGUGAUAGGGAUGGUUUUGACGUGACCAUUGGUAGUUAGGUAGGGAGUAAUAUAAGGAGAUGAGAUUAAGAAAAGUUAAUAUCAGAUUUGGGGACAAACUAGGAUAUAGUUCUAAAUUAUCUAGACUUUACUCCAUAAGCAAUGGGGAACCUUUGGGAAAGUUUUAAUUGAAAGACUGACAGACAUUUUGAUGUCUCUAUUUUCAAGCAAGAACCCUGGUGGUAUUGGGAGGAGGCAUGAAUGAAGAAUUGCUCAUAGUGGGAAGACCAGUUUGAAAGCUGAUACCAUAGUCCAUGUGAAAAAUAAUGAGGCCCUAAUGAGAUGGUCACAGUGAAGAUGUGGUGGGGGAGUGAUGGGGGGGUUGGCAGGUGUAUCUGUGAGAUCUCUAGAGAGGACAAUCAGUAGGACUUUAUGACAUGGAAAUUAAUGGGGCUGGCGCAGUGGCUCACACCUGUAAUCCUAACAUUUUGGGAGGCCAAAGCAGGUGGAUUGCCUGAGCUCAGGAGUUCAAGACCACCCUCGGCAACAUUGCAAAACCCCAUCUCUACUAAAAAUACAAAAAUUAGCUGGGUGUGGUGGCAGAUGCCUGUAAUCCCAGCUACUCAGGAGGCUGAGGCAUGAGAAUUACUUGAACCUGGGAGGCAGAGGUUGCAAAGAGUCGAGAUCAUGCCACUGCACUCCAGCCUGGGCGAUAGAGCAAGACUCUGUCUCCAAAAACAAACAAAAAAAGUAAUGGGUCAUGAGGAAGAAAAAUAGGGAUAACUCAAGUUUUCCAAUUUACAUUAUUAGGUGAAUAGUAAUGAAAGUUAUUGAGAUGGGAAUUAUAGUGGAAAAAGCAAGUCCUGAAGUGAAUGUGAGAGGAUAAGUUAAUUUUAGACAUCAAAUUUUAAGUACUUGAAGGAAAUAGUUGGGAAUACACAUCUGGAAUUUUAUAGAGCAGUCAAUGUUGUAGAUAAAAUUCAAAAUCAUUAGUAAUUAAGUGGUAGUUGGAGUCAUGGGCAUAGAUAUAAUAAACAAGGGAGAGUAUGUAGGGAAAAAAGGAGCAGAGAUCUGGAUAGGGGCUGGGGAGGUGUAAUUUUAAGGGGAUGGAAAGAAAUCAGUAUAAAAGACGGAAAACUGGGAAAGGAUCAUCAAAGAUGUAGAAGGAAAACUAGAAGCGACACUCAAGCAGACUUGAGUCUUCUACUGUUGGAAAUUAAUGUCUUCUUUUACUUCAUCUUAACAUGAAGGUCCUGCUAUUACCUUUAAAAAUAUUUUUCUUUCACUGGAAUAUUCCACAUAGCAUACAUCGGAACGUUAACUGUGUUCAGUGGGUACUGCCACUAAUUCAUCUUGAAACCCCUAUGUUCAAGGUUUUAGAAGAGUGUAUAAUGUACAUAAAAUAAAUACAAUAGAGUAAGCAUUAAGUACAUGGGUUAGGUUUUCUGCAGAAAGUGAACAGUCUUCAUUUCCUUUAUAGAUUUCUAAGUGGUAAAACCACCAAACAAUUCCUUGUGAUAAAUCACUGCAGACAGCAUGAAAAAUUUCCUUAGGUAAUUAUUACACUCAAGGAUUUCUGGUAAGGCAACCAAACGAGCAUAAUACUGACAGUCCAGACACCUUAGUUUGAGCUUUCAACAGGUGAUCCACAGAACAACAUUCAAAUUUAUAUGUUCACAUGAAUGGAAACAUUUGGCACAUGUACAGAAACCUUUCUUUUCAGAAGUUAACAAUUAUGAUUUCUAACUAGGAAAUUUUAUUCACAAUCCUUCAAUGACUUUCAGCAUUGGCAACAGCUUAAAAAACUAGAGUUGGCUUAGUCCCUACUUCUAGAUAUUUAGCUCUUGAGUUCUUCAGUUCCUCAUCUGUGAUUUUUGAAUAUUGGAUUCCCCAGAUUCUUCUACAGACACACAACAGUUCUCCACCUUGUGAAAGAUUUCUCCAGGAGUAAGAAUUAUUCUCAGUUCCUUUAAUGUGCUAUUACCAUUUUGUCCCAUCCUGCCUGGAAUCAUCUCUAUACUCUUCUCCUGCCCACUUCUAGAUCCAAAGGGGAAAGAGCCCUGCACUCUAAUUGCUGAUAUAAGAAUUCACCAUCAAUAUCAAAUCCCAUGCCUUUUCAUCUUAUAUUUACCUGGCAUUUUUCAUGGUGACAUAUCCAAUGAAUUGCAAACAGAAAUACCCUGGAUCACAAAUACGUUUAUAAUGGUAACCAACAACAUUCAUGUAAUUUUUUUAGCAGCCUUCAGUACAAACUUAGGAAUGGUGAAAGCAAAUGACUACUAUGGGUUGGAGGUUGACAGAAUUGGGCAUAAUAGGCAAAUUGAAGGUUUUCAGGAGAGCCAGUGAAAUAACUAACCCUAGAGUCCAAACUGGGGAAGGAAAUUUAUGAAUUUAUUUAUUCUUUUAGCUGAUUAUUGUGUGCUUGUUCCACUAGGGCCAGAUUACUCUUAUGUCCCCAGGUUUUUGCUGUUUAAAGGAAAUAUUUAAGAAGGGAAAUAUUUAAGAAAGGAAAUGAUAAUAUAUUUCACAGAUGAGGAAACAGAGGUUCAGAGAAAGUAAGUAACAUGUGUAAGAACUAGUAAGUGGUGAACUACAAAGUCAGACCUGGUCUGUCUGCCUCAAAGGUCCAUGCUCCUUUCACUACACCAUGCUGGAAUCCUUGAAUCCUUCACAAACUUAUCAGGGGAACCCGCCCCUGAUAAUUCAACGUGGAUCCUUUUCUAUUUUCCCUAAGUGUCGGCCGGUCUGAGAAAUAAAGGGAAAGAGUACAAAAGAGAGAAAUUUUAAAGCUGGGUGUCUGAGGGAGAUAUCACAUGCCGGCAGGUUCCGUGAUGCCCCCUGAGCCAUAAAACCAGCAAGUUUUUGUUAGCAAUUUUCAAAAGGGAGGGAGUGCAUGAAUAGGGUGUGGGUCACAGAGAUCACAUGCUUCAAGGGCAACAAAAGAUCACAAGGCAGAAGGUCAGGGCGAAACUAGAAUCACUAAUGAACUUCCAUGUCCCGCUGUGCACGCAUUGUCAGGGUUCAAGAGCAGAGAACUGGUCUGACUAGAAUUCGCCAGGCUGGAAUUUCCUAAUCCUAGCAAGCCUGGGGGCGCUGCACGAGACUAGGGCGUGUUUCAUCCCUAUCUACAGCUGCAUAAGGCAGACACUCCCAGGACGGCCAUUUUAGAGGCCCCCUCUGGGAAUGCAUUCUUUUCCCAGGGCUGUUAAUUAUUAAUAUUCCUUACUGGGGAAAGAAUUCAGUGAUAUUUCUCUUACCUGUUUUCGGUAAUAAGAGAAAUAUGGCUCUGUCCUGCCCAGCCCACAGGCAGCCAGACUUUAAGAUUAUCUCCCUUGUUCCUGAAAAUCGCUGUUAUCCUGUUCUUAAGGUGCCCAGAUUUCAUAUUGUUUAAACAAUUUGUGCAGUUAACACAAUCAUCACAGGGUCCUGAGGCAACAUACCUCCUCAGUUUAUGAAGAUGACAGGAUUAAGAGAUUAAAGUAAAGACAGGCAUAGGAAAUCACAAGAAUAUUGAUUGGGGAAGUGAUAAAUGUCCAUGAAAUCUUCACAAUUUAUGUUCAGAGAUUGCAGUAAAGACAGGUGUAAGAAAUUAUAAAAGUAUUAAUUUGGGGAACUAAUAAAUGUCCAUGAAAUCUUCCCAAUUUAUGUUCUUCUGCUGUGGCUUCAGCUGGUCCCUCUGUUCGGGGUCCCUGACUUCCCAUGACACAAAAUCAUGUUGCCCUUAACACUUCCCUCUGUUAUUCAAGGGGUCAUGCAACCCUGAGAGCAGGUCAGGUGCCUCAAUAUAAAGGUCCAGGGGCCAUGGACCCUGACACAGUCAGAACCUGUGUCUCUACAUCUGGGAAGAUAUAACCAUCAGACUAAGGUUUGCUGUCCUUCAAGCAUUAUCCCCUGAUGUAGGAAUGUAGUCAGGAAGUUUGACAGCUUUCACAUCUGUCUCCUUGAGUGCUCUGCCCUCCCAGACUCCCUCUCCCUAAGACAGUCUUCAAUAUCUGGUCUCUGACACUCCAGUUUGGUUUUGAAAUGCUUUUGGUUUCUCUGGCCAUGCUAUGUUCCAGGGAAGAGCUGUUUUGUUUUGGUUUUUCUCAUGCCUUAAGUUCUGUUUUGGUCAAAGCAACAGCUUCCUUCCCAAUUUAUAUUACAGUGGAGGUUUUCCACUCAAUAAGGAAGAAAAACAUCAAUUAUAGUAGAAACCAGUGGGAGAGGUAAGGGGACCUGGUGGAUGAGAGGAGGGAAGAAGGAAGAGAAAAUGAGGAAUGAAAGGGACCAAAAAAGGAAAAGUUGUUAAAAGCUUGACACACACACACACAAAAAUGGAGGAGGUAAUUAUGGCUGAAAGGUUGUGGGGAGAGGUCAUUAGGAAGUCUUUAAGAUUAAAAAAAUAAUAUAUCCAACUCUGGGGAGGUGACAAGGUCAUUAAGCGUUGCUGGAAGCAGUGUAAAUUAGUAUGGCUUUUUUGGCAAGAAUCUAGAGUUUGGCAAGAGCCUUAAAACUGUUUAUACCUGGCCAGGCACUGUGGCUCAUGCCUGUAAUCCCAGCACUUUUGGAGGCCGAGGCGGGUGGAUCAUGAGAUCACGAGAUCCAGACCAAUCUGAUCAACAUGGUGAAACCCCAUCUCUACUAAAAAUAGAAAAAUUAGCUGGGCAUGGUGGCACACGCCUGUAAUCCCAGCUACUCGGGAGGCUGAGGCAGGAGAAUUGCUUGAACCUGGGAAGCGGAGGUUGCAGUGAGCCAAGAUCGCACCACUACACUCCAUCCUGGUGACGGAGCAAGACUCUGUCUCAAAAAAAAAAAAAAAAAUGUUUAUACCCUUUGGCUCAAUAUUGUACUUCUGGAAAUAUAUCCUAAAAAUACUUCUGAAUUUUGAAGCCUAUAGAAAAAAAGAACUUCGUGCACAAAAUUUUUUUCUCAGUAAUAGUUAUGUAACUAAAUAAUUGGUGACAACCAAUGUGGCUAUCAAUAGACAAGUGGUUAAAUAGUUUUGACCAUUCAGUAAUUCCUAUUACUUGAUUGAAUAUUAGGUAGCCAUUGAAAAUGAUUGUUUUCCAAGACCAUGUAAUGUAACAAGUGCUUACAAUAAAAACAAGCUACAAAAAACUAUAUCAUCCAAAUUAUGUUUACAAAUGAAGAAAUAAGUGUCUGUGAGAAAUGGUGUUGGAAAACACACCAAUGUAUUAAUACUGAUAGUGUUUUAGUAGUGAGACUACAGGGUUGGUAUUUUUUUAACAAAGCAAUUCUUAAAAUUAAGAUAUUAUUUACACACAAUAAAAUUCACCCAUUUUUAGUGUACAAUGUGAUACAUUGUGGUAUUGUGUACAAUUGGUUACCAGCACCUCAAUCAAGAAGUUCCAUGUGAGGGAUGAAAAAUUACCUAUUGGGUACAAUGUACACUCUUCAGGUGAUGGGUAUACAGUAAAGCCCAGACUUCACCAUUGUGCAAUUUAUCCAUGUAACCAAAAAGCGCUUGUACUACUAAAACUACUGAAUUUUUUUUUUUUUAAGAAGUUCCCUUAUGGCCUUUCACAGUGAAUCUCCUCUUCUCACCCCUGACCCCAGACAACUGCUACUGAUCUUUUCUCUGUCAACGAAAGUUUUUCCUUAUCUAGAAUGGCACAUACAUGGUUUCAUAUGGUAUACAAGACUAUUGUUUUUAGCGAUAAUCUACUUUAAAAUGUUUCUUCAAUGAGUACAUUAAAAAAUAAUUUGAACCUAAAACAUAGACUUCAACUGUUUCUUUUUCCACUAAAUGCAAAGUGGGAAAGAAAUAAAGAGCUUUGAUUACUUAAGAGAAGAUAGUUCAAGCAGACCUAAGUUAUCAGCGAGCUCAGAAAAUCUCCCUGCUUAGAGGCUAUAAAUAGUAUGGUGUAAUACUGAUCCUCAUUCAAAGCUGUGAUAGAGUAGAAGAUAACUUUUCAAAGUUUGUUUCUAACCCGAUAAGAGGAUAAUAGGAGAAGAGAGAGAUAAGAAGAGAUGUUUGUAAGCAGAAAACUAUAAAGGGGGGAUAUUUUUCAUUGUUUUGUAUUCUGAACAUAUGCUAUUAUAAAUUUACCAUUCCGGAACAUUCUCUUUAAAUAAUGCAAAGCUUGUCUGACCACCCAGCUAUAUUUCUGUUUUUCAUUUUUAAUGUCUGCACAUUAGUCAUUUAUUUUAAGCUAUGUAAUUAUAAGACAAAAGAUGCUAGGUUAAGUAUAACCACCCAUGAACAUAAAGCCAUUUUUAGUAAAAUUACAGUCUGAGUUACUAUAUGUAGUCAUGUGAUUAUCUGCAUAAACACCUAUGAAUUUGGAGUCAGUAUGAAAUAACAAAGUUAAAUAUUGAGUGAAAAAUGCUAUACACACAUUAUGUUUUUAUGUGUGUGCACAUCAAUAUAUAUGCAGUUGAGAAUGUUAAAUAGAAGUGUUCUUUCAUUCUUUCCUUAUUUUACAAAAGAAAAAAUUUUGAAUGUUUUGCUUCCCAAUAACUCCCAAAUACCUUAUUUAAUGCUUUUUAAUUGUGGUAAAAUAUGUGUAACAAAAUUUACUAUUUUAAUCCUUUUAAGUGUACAGUGUAGUCGCAUUAAAUACAUUCGCAUCGUUGUGCAACCACCAUCCCCAUCCAUUUCCAGAACUUUUCUCAUCUGGCAAAACUGAAACUCUGUACCCAUUAAACACAACUUGUCCUUCUUUCCUCCCAGCAAGGUUUUGGCAGCCACCAUUCCACUUUCUAUCUCUAUGAUUUUGAAUACCAUAAGUACCUCAUAUGAGUGAAAUCAUAUGGUAUUUGUCCUUUUUUUAUUAUAUGGCAGAACAUUUCUAUGAGUAUUUCCUCAUGGUGACAUAGGGAAGUUGAUCCUAUAAUGAUACAAAGAUGCUCUGGGAUGCUUUCCUCAUGUAUCUUGAUGGUCCUUGACAGGAAUAUCUCUAUCUGUAUUUCUUGCUGGUAUAUAGUUAACUAUUAAUGGUACACCAUGUUGUAGCCAUAUAAUAAAACAGAGUAGUACUUAACCUCACUGAAGGACUCUGUUGUGUUGGGUACUUGACAGGAAUUUUUAAUCUGGAAAUUUCUUAAAUUUUAGGAAAUUUAUUUUUGUAUUAUUUCUUAUAUACUUUUCUCCCUACACUAUUCUCUGCUCUCUUUCUGAAAUUUCUAAUAAUUUGGAUUUUAGACCUCUUAAACUUAUUUUCUAAUGUUUUUCUCUUCCUCUCUAGUUUUCCCAAUUGUUUGUUUUAAUUUCUGGUCAAGAUUGUCAACUUCUAAUCCUUCUUCUAAAUUUCUAAUCCUUCUCCUACAUUUUAAUUACUGUUAUCAUGAUUUUAAUUUCUAUGAUCUGAUUUUUAUUUCUUUCUUUUUAAAAAUAAAACCCUGUUCUACUUUCCUGAAUGCCAUAUCUUUUUUAUCUCUUGGAUGAUAUUAUAGUUUUUUGAAGUAUCUUCUCACUGAUUUACUUCUAUUUUCUUCAAUUCCUCUUUGGUAUUCACCUAUCACUCACAUUAGAGGCUUUCUCGAAGGUCUGAGGAUCCUUUGCUUCCACCAUGUAAAAAAGAGCUAAUUGAUAGCUCUGGAUUCCUGUGUGGAUGUUGGGGGAGGAGGGCCUUAUAGAGUGUGGACUUUAAUGUAGGAUCACUGGGAUGAGUUAUCUGGGUCAGGUGGGGGGUACAAAUCUCAGUAGCUUUGAGCCUCUUCUUUGAGCUCAGUUUCCCAGGGAGAAGUUUUCCAUCUCCCUCCUGGGAUAUUUAAUGCUGGCUUCUCAGUGGGAUCUCACUCAUCAGGCAGUAGAUUUUUACUUUAUUGUUCUGUCUACAGUGCAGCAUCCUUUUCUCUGACCAGCCGCAAGUCCAGGGUUCCUUUGAUUCAUCACUGCCAGAGAAUAGGUCUGCAGACUUUUACUGAAAUGGGAGUAGUUUCCAGAUUGUUUGAGUUAGGGAAGAGAUACAUGUCCCUAACUGCUUUUUAAAAUGCAGCUAAUUUGUGUGCUAUUUUCAAUUUUACCUGUAACCCAAUUUAAUUUAUUUUAUUUUUUUAUUUUAAUUUUUAUUUUAUUUUAUUAUUAUUAUACUUUAAGUUUUAGGGCACAGGUGCACAAUGUGCAGGUUAGUUACAUAUGUAUACAUGUGCCAUGCUGGUGUGCUGCACCCAUUAACUCCUCAUUUAGCAUUAGGUAUAUCUCCUAAUGCUAUCCCUCCCCCCUCCCCCCACCCCACAGCAGUCCCCAGAGUGUGAUGUUCCCCUUCCUGUGUCCAUGUGUUCUCAUUGUUCAAUUCCCAC